rnacentral:misc_RNA from 1 species
CCCAAAUUUAUUGAACUUCUUCAAUUGAGGGGUUCAUUAGGGUUCCGUUGAAUUAUAUUUUCCCCUCUGUUUGAGUGUGUGUUUCACUUGGGAUACUGAACAUGCUCUAACUUUUUCUUUUCCAAAUUUUCUUUUGCUCCUUUUAGGUUGUUGCAAUUUCUGCGUUUUUCUUUCUUCAGUUUUUUCAGCUUUUGUUAGUCUGACAACCGAAUCAAUGUCUCCUUUUCUCAGGUGUUGUGCCUGGAAUUUUCUGG